ensembl:lincRNA Gm28784 predicted gene 28784
UUGGUUCUAUAGGAGAGCAGGCCGAGCAAGCCAGUAAGAAACAUCCCUCCAUGGCUUCUGCAUUACCUUCAUGACCUGAUUGAGUUCCUGACAUCCUUUGGUGAUGAACAGCAAUGUGGAAGAGAUAACUAGACCUGGAUAGAGGGAAGUGACAAGUCUUCUACUUGCCCGAGAAGAAAGAUGUCAAUGGAGAAGGUAGAUUCUAAAGAGACAUAGACCGGCCUCAGUAGAACAGAAUGUGAAGGAACAUCACCUCAAACAGAAUGGGCUACUUGCUGUCUCUUGGAACCUUUAUUCAAGAAAGGCUCAGCAUUUAGUGGCCAGUUUGAAUUUUGAACCUUGGAAUACUGCUCAGAUCCACCUAUGGUUGAUGAUCACUUUUGAAUGGCGCUAGAGCAAGAGACAGAACUAUGGGAGGAUUGGACUCUAGCAGGGAAAGCCUUGUUUCAGACCCUGUUUGUGAGGGCUUUGAUCUUUUCACCCUUGCUUACUGAAUUAAGAAUGGAGAAUUCAUGGACUUUGAGUGACAUUUAAAACUAAAAACAAAACAAAACAACAACAACAACAACAAUACCCCCUCCCCCCGCAAACUUCUUCCUCAAUUUACUUACAAAUCAAUCAGCUUGAAAAGAUUUACUUCUUCCAUGAAAUAGUCCAAUCAAAAUUUAUGAAACGCCAGAAAGGAAAAAAACAUAAGCUCAAAAAUAUAACCACCAGAGUGCUCUACACCCACGUGAAUCAGCCCACCUCAUUGUACUUGUAGAUUUUUGAGUGAAAAAUUAGCCUAUGGGGCCCACCCUGCCGAGUGGUAAUCCCUGGAUUCAGCCGUAAACACCACAUCGCAGAUUUCCUGCUUCUAAAGUGAUGGAAGAAUGAUUCUGUUAGUCAACCCAUAGGAGCUCCUCACUUGGAAUGUGCUCCCCUGAAUUUAGCCAAUGCACUGAUAACCAAUUCCUUGCUUUUGUAAGACCUUCUGUAUUUGUUUUUAAAAAAAUAAAGUUUCAAUUCAGC